rnacentral:tRNA from 1 species
CGAAUAUUAUCUCCGGUAACCUUCUUUCAAGGACAGCCCUCUCAAGGCUAAAAUCCGGGUUCGAAUCCCGGUAUCGCUGUCAACCA